CGCUCCUCUGGCACCAAUGCCCAGAAAUCUCAUACCUUUCAUAUCUUUGUUAAGGAGGAACUGAGGGUUGUGGCCACCAAAUUACUGCUGCCCAUCUUUGUGUUAUUUACGGACUUUGCUUGAUUUGAGUCAAAACAAAUGUGUACUUCUAGAACCUGGCAGCAAAAUGCUAUAUAAUAGAGAAGAGCAGCUGUAUCUGGCCCAUCUCAGGAUAAAAAGCAGCAAGUGUGAAAAGACAUUGUUCCUUUUCUGUGGAACCGGAUCAGUAUUCAAAACAUUAAUUUCCCAAGCUUCUUCCUCAGUCUUGUCUUCAAUAGUCUCAAUGAAAUAGAAGAUAUUUAAAAAGUAAAAGCAACGAGAACAACUUUAAGACAUCUCUGUAGAGAAUUCGGUCCUCUUUAGCAGCCUUAUAUUUCAUCCAUUCCACAAAUCUCAACUCUCCAUACCGUGCUAGGCCAUGUCCUAGGUGCAGAAGCAGAACAAAUAAAGAGGCACUAGCUGAUGUCCUUGAGCCCUUUCAGGGUAGCAAUAUCCUUCGUGAUCUGCUGACCUGCACUGCAAGACGUUCGUUAUUUACUGCUCACAUUAGUUGUGUCCUUGGCUAUGAAUUAACCAUGACUUCGUUUCUUAAGAGCAGUAUGUGUGAAAGGCCUCUGCAUUCUGUUGGCAAGCAUGUUGUUUGCAUAAUGUAUUGAUUGUGCAUUUUUAAGCAACACCUAUGUGGAUCAUUAAUACCAGGUACAGUUACUAAAAUGAAACCCUUGAGAAUAUUUUCCAUUUGUAAUCUGAAUUCUUGCCAAUUUUUGAGACUUUCCUGAAAACAAAUGACUGUGUUUUUAAAAAAUUCGUCUUUUUAAGUUUUUUAUUCACUGAAUUAGUUAGAAGUGAUUCUGCUAAGCUUUCUUAGCCCUAAAUGUAAUAUUUUUUUAGUGAAAUGAAAAACCUGAGAGAAAAACAACUAUAGGAAAUCAUCAUUUGCUGAGGCAGGAUUUUCUUUAUUAAUAAAAUAAUUUAAUUGGUUGUUACUAAAUGUGAUAGUUUUAUGACCAAGUAUAAGAUCUAGUUAGUAAGCAUGAAUUGCAAUUAUAUACAGCAAUAUUUCUUUGCUGGGAUGAUUGGGAAAGUCAUCUCUUUGGGCCUUAGUUUCCUAAUCCAUAAAGUAAGUUUGUUUGCACCCCAUUGAAAAAAAAAAGGGUGGGGGCUGAGUGCAGUGGCUCACGCCUAUAAUCCCA
rnacentral:lncRNA from 1 species